CGCAAAAUGAUCCAACCCACAAUUUCCACUGCAUUUCGUGCUAUACGUCAAAGUGGAAGAACUGUCCGAUACGCGUACACGUUCAUCCGAGAAUCACCGCCUGGGACCUCAUUCAAACUUCUUCACCGACAUGACUAUGUGAUUGUGAUGUGAACUACAAAAAAAUGCAAACCAAUACUUCAGAUCUUGCCUGGAUUCCUGCCUCUUUCAAAGUUUUAUAAGUAGGAACAAUGGCUGCAUGUCUGGCACUGAAAUCUGAGGAAGAAUUGGGGUUCUUGCUAGAAAACCACAAAAGAGCCACUUACACUUCAUUCAAUACAUGGUCUGAACAUAAAAAGGAUAAAAUCAAAAGAAGGCUACUUUGGCAAGUGGAGGAUUAUGCAGACGAUGUCCCCGUUUGUGUUGGAAAAAGAGCUAUCCUUGCAUGGCAAAGCAUCGAAAAGACCUUCUACAGCUGAGGAACAGCCUUCAGAACAUGUAUAUAGCAAGAAAAUAUUAUAUGUGUAGAGGGGCAAAAAAGUGGACUGUCCAGCAAAGCUUUUCAUUUGGCAUGUAACUAGGUAUGACACAUUUAGUGUCAAAGGGGAUGCUUCAAGGGCAAAAAAACAAGAAGCAAUGAAAAGGCUGAAAGAGGCAUUGACUCGGACAAGCCCAGCUACAUCAUGUCAAGUUCUCAAUCGCUGAAGCACACCAAAAUCACACUGUCAAUGAAGCAAGUUGCUUUAAAAGAAAGAUGCAUCCACAAGAAAACAUGGGACAGGACAGAGACUCCAGACAGCAGGAGGAAAACAUGGGACAGGACAGAGACUCCAGACAGCAGGAGGAAAACAUGGGGCAGGACAGAGUCAGGGAAAAUCACAGCUGAAGAGUGUGCGUUAAGAGUUGAAUUAAACAAAAUAAUGGAUGCUA